GGGGUGACUCAGCUUCUCUCUGAGAGUAAAGCCAACCUCAGAGAGGAAAUGUUCGGAGGCUUUGCAAGUAGCUGAGUGACUGAAACUGUUCCCGGUUUUGCUGCUGUCACAGCCUGGCAGGGAAGAUGAAGACCUGGACCCGGGCGCCGAUCUAAGCUUUGAGUGUGGCCAUUUGUCAGGUCUUUCGGCAGCUGCAGCAGCUGUUUUGAGUGUCACUUGUCUUGUGCUGUGCUGGGGCAUCUCGGCAGCUCCGUUGAGCAUCUCCUGUUGUGUCUUCUGCUGUCUUCGUGAGUUGGAUCCCGGCCUAUAGUCUGGCAGCCACGUGCUCCAGGCCCUCAGUGGCAGGAAGACGCUAAUUGGGAACAUUUGUGUUUAGGACUUUACAACACUGGACACUGCUUCAUGUGAGGCUCUAACAGCAGCAAAGAUGGGAACAGGUGAAGAAGCUGUGAUUGCUUCUCAACCUUGGACAUGUGCCAGAGACUUGGGGGGACAUGGAAGGAGACACUGGAAACAGACAUGGGCAAUACCACCUUCACAUGAACGAAUGAAUGACAAAAACUGUGGCUAUUUGAUUUGGUUAAUGAGCAGACAUUGUCCUGAAAAUGAGUGUGUGCUCCUUUAAGAAAAUCAACUGACAAUUGAUAACUGAGAGUAACUUCACCUUGACAAAAUGUAAGCGCUCAGAAAAAAACAGAAUAUGGAAAAUUGUGUCCUAUCACUAACUUGACAAUUUCCAGUACUACUUUUACUUUUGGGAUUUGUGGUGAAAAAUAAAAUGAAUUUUUUAAAAUAAUUUUAUUCCAGUGUAAUGAACACUGAAGAGCUUUUUAACUUAGUGAAACAAUACAUUACUUAAAAAAUUCACACAUUAGGGCCUCCCCUGGUGGCGCAGCAGUUGAGCGCUGGGCUGCAGAGCUGCCCACAGCCUCUGCAGUGCCAGUUCAAUCCCUGGCCGCCAGCGAGGGUCCCCAAUGGUGCACAGACCUCUCCGGCCGCGCCUGCUGCUCCCCUCAGCAGUGUAUUUCAUCAGUCUGCCAAUUCUGUUCCCUGCUAUGGCUCUGGUGAAUUAUCUCACCUUCCCACGCUUCUGACUGUACCUAGUGCUUAUAUAAAUAAAUAAAUAAAUCUUUAAAAAAAAUCACACAUUAGCACAAGACCCCAUUAAUAUGCAAGAGAGGACUAUGGAAAUGUAACAGAAUAAGAAAUAUUCAGUGAUAUUGUUUCAGGUUGGACUUCGCAAGUAACCUUUGAGAAAAUACCACCUAUAUAGUUUUAAUUUAGUAUCGAAGUGGAAUAUUCAUAUUAUGUGAAUACUACUCCAACAUACUUGUGUGAGGCUGUAUACAUUUUUCAUAGACUUCAACCAGAACCACAGACUAAAUGCAGAAGGAGGGCCUCCCUGGUGACUCCAGGGGUUAAGCACCACGCUGUGAAGCAAUCCGCAGCUUCUGCAGCACAGAGUCCCAUCCCAGGCCAGCCAGGGAGCAACCAACAUGGCUCAGCAGACCUCUCCUGACUUUCCUGCUGCUCCCCUUGGCAGUAUAUUUCAGUCAGUCCACCUGUUCUGUUCCCCGCUCUGUCUCUGGUGAAUCCUCUCAUGCCCUGCAUCUCUGCCAUGUACCCCAGCUCUUGUAUGCAUAAAUAAAAAUAAAAUCUUAAAAAAAAAUAAAUGCAGAAGGGAACAUGAAAAUCCUACUGUCUUCUAAUGAGACAGACAAGAAAGACAAUUGCAAAAAUAAAAAAUGUAAAAUAUCCACUCUUCUUAUUGCCAUGAUUAUUUUCAGAAAUAAGUUACUUUUCUUAAGAACACUUUCUAUAAACACGUAUUGGAUUAUUACUAUUAUUCUAAAUGAAAUAGCUACACGAUUAAACUCAGCUUUAUUCCCAGUGUGGUAAAUAUGGGGAGCGAUACCUCCUAAACAAGAUUAUACUUGGCGUCCUCCCUAAUUUGUCAGACUGGACACGGAUCCGGGAAGGAAAAUGACUGAGAAUCGCAGACCCAGUGCUUGGGUCAUGGAGACAGGGUGAGGAAGCUUUGGGUGAGGACAGGAGGGGCCAGAGCAAAGCCCCAGGUCCCUAGUCUGGUUCUCAUAGUUCCAGGCCCCAGGGCUGUGUCCAGGGCAGGAAGGUUACUGUUGGGGAUACCCCACUACCCCCUUAGCCUCCCUUCUGUCUCCACCACCUGUGCUGGGCCCUGGACACUUGUGACUCCUCCCCAGUUCUCAG